rnacentral:rRNA from 1 species
UGGGUAGAGGGGCAGACGGCCCGGGGAAGGCGUAGGGCGCGAGGGUUAUCCGGAGUAGGUGGGGUAAAAGUGCAGCUAGGGGGCCAAGCAAGUCAGGGGUGAAAAGUUACGGCUCAACCGGGAGCCUGACCGGGAGACUGAGGGUCUGGAGUGCCGGAGAGGGGGGCGGAACGACACGAGUAGAGGUGAAAUUCGUAGAUAUGUGUAGGAAUGCCGAUGAUGAAGGUAGCUCACUGGACGGAAACUGACGCUGAAGUGCGAAAGCUAGGGGAGCAAACAGGAUUAGAUUCCCGGGUAGUC